rnacentral:rRNA from 1 species
GUGGGGAAUAUUGGGCAAUGGGCGAAAGCCUGAUCCAGCCAUGCCGCGUGCAGGAAGACGCAUCUAUGGUGUGUAAACUGCUUUUGUACGGGAAGAAACACUCCCUCGUGAGGGAGCUUGACGGUACCGUAAGAAUAAGGAUCGGCUAACUCCGUGCCAGCAGCCGCGGUAAUACGGAGGAUCCAAGCGUUAUCCGGAAUCAUUGGGUUUAAAGGGUCCGUAGGCGGUUUAAUAAGUCAGUGGUGAAAGCCCAUCGCUCAACGAUGGAACGGCCAUUGAUACUGUUAGACUUGAAUUACAAGGAAGUAACUAGAAUAUGUAGUGUAGCGGUGAAAUGCUUAGAUAUUACAUGGAAUACCAAUUGCGAAGGCAGGUUACUACUUGUGGAUUGACGCUGAUGGACGAAAGCGUGGGGAGCGAACAGGAUUAGAUACCCCGGUAGUCC